UACUCAAAAAGUGUGCCAGACUUGCAAACAGAAAAUAGGAGUAGCCAGCAGGAAAUGCAGGCAAUGUGGUGCCAACCAACCCUAUAAGGAGAAACUAUCAAAGCAAAAGGAAAAGGUUGCACGGGAGUGGAAGGCCACGCAGCAAAAAAACCACAGUGUCAACAAAGUUUAUGACUCAACAAAUCUACUGCUCCACAAAUGGAAAAUGCUUGAGCGGCAUCGCAUCCUCCUUCUUGCCAAGAGAGGCACAAAUGGUUUUGCGGCCGAUUGCCUCUGUCCAUGGCAAAUUGAGACAGAAGAUGGUAAAAAUGCACUCUUAACCUGUAACAAAGGUAACUUAAAUUGCCCAAAACCUUAAAAUCUGGUUAAAAAUGUUCAACCCUUUUCAAUUCUGUCUGUUGGCAGAAUUACAUUCAGUAUGUCUUGAGAUUCAACAUUAGUAUGCAGUUCAGGGUGGUCAGGAAGGGUUUUACUGUUUCCAUAGAUGUGCCUGUCCCAGUGAGACUAUAAAGACUUGAUAGGGCAACAUCAUACAGACCUUUCAAUAUAAUUAUUUCAAACUGAUUUGCUGAGAAACAAAUAUUGUUUCUAGGUAAUGUAACAAUAAAUACCAUUUUGUCGAUAGAGAUCGUGUUUCUUUCUUCGGAGGGAAUAAAUCAUUUAAUCAAUUUCUCUCUGGAGCUCCUCCUGGCUACUUUGGGCUCCAUGUUUCUCCUGAAAACAGAAACAACAAGGCGUAAUCAUAAAACAUGAAGCCAAAUGUUUGGAAAGAUGGAACCAAAUCUAUACCACAGUGAUCAUAUAACAUACCAGUGGCUGCCCAUUGCUUGACCUCCAACAUCCACUGCUCCGUGUCCUCCAGGGAGAUGUUCAGCUCUUGCUUGAGACAAGAUUGUCCACUUCAGUUUGUGCUCUCUGUGUAGUCUGGUUAGAAUGUUUAAAAGGAAAAAGUGAAUAUGCAUUCCAGUUGGUUGAGAAGGUUGUUUUUAUACACCGUCUCCUUAUAUAUAUAUAUUAUUUUUUUUUAACUGAAUUCCUUAAUGCACAUUAACUGACCAGACAACAACAUGAAAUGCUAAACACCUUCUCUUCAAGGUUGGCAAGUGUCACCUUAGUGUUCCCUUUUCUUUUUUUUUAAAGAUCAAGCGGGAUUAACAUUAUUAUUAUUAUACAUAAAUUCAGAUGAAUAAACCUAUAGUGCUUUAUUAAAAACAAACAGAACAGAGAUUCUCUUGGCAGAACAGCGUGGCAGCACCAACAUAAUGAAAUGAUUGCAGAAUACAUUUAAUUCAACAACAUGUAGCUAAGGAUGGUGUUAAAUUACUACAACAAGAAACUACAAUAUUCUUAAUGUACAUUUUGAAAUGCAGUAUGGACUUCUUACUUUGACAAAUCUCUUUGCCAGUGUCUUGUGGAGAUUCUCUACCUUCCUGUGGUUCCAUUGCAUAGCCAGCACGGUUAUCAUAUCUGCUCUAGCUGUAAACACAAAAACAUGAAAAUUCAUAUCAGCUUUACAAUGUGGCACUGCUUAAAACUAUUUGUUUUCCUACCAACCUGAUUUGGUCAUGUAUUUUGUUGUCAGAGCUGCCCUUGAGAGGAAGCUGUUAACCUGUUCCACUUCGUCGCCGACAGUAUUUCCAGCACCUUCCAGGCUUCUGCCACCCCACUUCACCUGCUCAGAAUCAUAAACAAUAAGAUCUAGAUAUUUAGUUAUAUAUAUUAUCAUUUCUUGUACUGUACAUCUUUAGUUAACAUCAGUAUCAGGAGCAAUUUCAGAAAGUUGAAAUGUUCUGAGAUUGACUUAUGCUUUGAACUACAAUGUCACAACUGCAGUUAUUUGAAGCUCUGUUCAAUCAUUAUUUCUACAGUGCAGAUAUAUUUGCUAAAAAAACACAAUGGGAUUUGUAAGCCUAUCCUUGUGACAGUCUGUUUUGUAACAAUUUUGUCAACAUUUGUAAUUAUUACAGUUAUUCCACAGGCUUGCAUAGAAUAUACUAACUACAUGAUAUUCUUAUGUGCACUACAAUUUCUAAAACAUUUGAAUCUAGUGACACAAAUGUUUAACUUGCAUACUGUACCUCGCAUUUGCCUGUGUGGGCCUUGGCGUGCAUUACAGAGAGAAAAGGUUUCAUCUCUGUAAGUGGUUGGAGCUCAGGGAACUUCGCUGCCAUCUUCUCUAAAUAAGACCAGUACCUGUCAUGACAAAAUCAAUUAGCUUUUCCAGUUGCAUGAUGGUAGUAAAAAGAUAAACCAGGUCCUUAAAAUUACCAGUAAAAUCCUUGUAACCAACAACAGCAUUUAUCCAAAUGAAUGCUUUUUUGCUUUAUAUCUACUGGAUGUGCAAGAAUGAAAUAGAUAACAUGUUUGACACAAACACUUCAAAUGUUGCAAUAGUUAUAACUACCUGCAGGCGACCUCCAUAUAAAAGAAUGUUGCAUUCGCAACUUCAGCCAGCUCCUUCUGCAGGAACAUUGGGUAGACAUAUAUUUCACCCCGGUAGUGAUUUAGGCCUUGUAGCAAGAUGCCAUGUCUGCACACAGCUAUUUGCAGGCCUUCCUCAUCCACCUUGGCGCUGGAUUUGAGUGAGGUUUCUCUGCAAGCUGUGAAUGUUGCCGGUCCACAAACAUCACGGCCACUUUUCUGAAAUAGACACAAUUUGUUACAUUUAACCCUGUGCUAAGUAAAAUAAAUAAAGCGUUAGUGGGUUGAAUAGAUUCUUACACUCGUCAUUUGGCUCCUGAUUUUGUCGACAAAGGCAGACACUUAACUGUCCUGGGCAAUGAACAGUCCAUCAAAUAGAGACGGUUCAUCUGUCCUGCCAAAUUCGAGAAAGAAAUUGUAAGCAACAUUAUCAUACAUACAUAAGUUUGAUUGUGUCCUCUAUUUAAUGGCCAAUUUGCUUUUGCUAUCAAUUUUUCAUAAAUGUGGAAAAGGUCUUUGUGAAUUUGAUCUGUAAUUCUGUGUAAAGCCUUUUGUCACCAUUAUUUAACAUUAGUGAAAAGUGUACUGACUUCUUGUAAAAAGGUACAAAUAAAAGUACAUCCUUUAAAUUGCUGGGCAUGGAAUAGGGCAGAGGAAGGCAGAAAAAAAAGUUAUAUCCAAAGCUGGUUCUCAACCGAGCUCCAACAUAUCCAACUAACGUCAACCAUUUAACAUUUUAAAGUUGAGUUAACUUUACACAGCAGCUUAUUACGACCUAUACUGUAGCUGUCCUCCUCCAAAAAACAAUAGUUUUUGGAGGAGGACAGCUAUAGGUCGUAAUAAGCCGCUAUGCAUGGGGACCCCUUGAGGGGGUUACCCGACAUCACGUUGCAGUAAAUUAAAGGGUGUUUCAUGUUGUCGUUGCUGUGGACCUUCUUAAUCUACCUUCUUUGGCGGCCCCCUUCUGGUCCGGGGGCCCCAAGCAGUUGCCCGCCUUGCUUGUUCACAAGGUGCGCCCCUGCUAAUUUGUUUUCAGUACAGCAAAGCUACUCAUGGCCACAACCUUUAUCGACCUUUACAUCUAUUUGCAGUAAGGCAUCAAAGCUGUAGGCUGAUCUGUGCACAGCCAGCUGUUUAAUACCAGUAGCACAUCCACAUUCACAAAGUCACAUUCACCUCCUGAGACGGGCCGAGGAUGGAGACCACACAAUAUAUUUAGUGAACUCAGAGCAACCAUAGGGAGACAUUUUGCUUCAUAAUUAUAUGUAAAGAUUGUGGGCCAAUGUCUGUCAUGGCCCAUUUGUUCAUCUAUCAAGAACCUAAAGUGUAAGCAACUCUUAAAAAGGCCUAUAAGGGACGGUAAAGGUCAAAGCUUCUCUGAAUAAAUACCAUGACACAAAAAAAAGAAGCAACACAAUUGUUAAUCCCAGCUGAAGACAGGAGAAAUUAUUGUAUUUUAAUUUUGGCAUAAAAUGACGGCAUUUGUUAAUCAAGUUGAUUCAAAGAGGUACAUCUGAGGAAUCUAAAGAGUCUACAGUUGGAAAAUUAGUUGUCACAAAAUGGAAAUGCACAUAAAAAAAAUCAUACGACUGACAGUUGGCUUUAAAUAAAUAUUUCAGUCUCAAAAUGAUACUGUGUCAGAACUCAACCCCUGUUACCUUGAGUUUGUGAUAAACAAAUAAAAAGUAUUUAUCAACUGAAGUUCUCAAACAGACAGAUAGCAUUAGACUGUUAUCUGAAAGUAUUUUGAAUAAUAAAGUUUAAGCACAAAUGUAUGUGUUCGGGAAGAAGUGAGUUUAUGACUGGAUAAAUCAGACUUGGAUUAUACUGCCUUACAGUAGUUGUUUGAGAGUUUGUCUGUUAAAUGCAACCACCCCCUAUCAACUUAAUUUAGUCCAGAAAUGUCUCUAUUUUUGGAUUCAUUAGGGAGGCAUGAGAGAAAAACUAAGUUUUUUCACAAAUCCAAGGCAACACUGGGUGAGGAGUUCAUAUGGAUAUGAUCGUUUUGAGGAUGAAGAACUCGUUUAAGACAUAAAGCCUAUUAAACUCAAAGACAUGCAGAUUUUAGGCUGCUGCGGAGUAAAUAGAUUGCUGUGGGAUUGUGCUUUCACUUGCUGAAAGGAAUCACACAUCCAUCUAUCACAUGAAGCGUAGAGAAAGAGAGCCGGUCAGACAGAGUGAGUAAGAGUGGGUUCAGUGACGUAGUGGAGCUAUAAAUACAGUUUUCCAAAGGCCAUAUUGACAUGCAGGUGCACAUUUAUCUGGGAGUCUGGCUCUAGUUUAUGAGGUCUUCUUCACCACUGUACCCUGGCGGAUGUGAUGUUAUCAACCGCUUGCCCCCUCCUCCCUCCUACACACACACACACACACACACACACACCCCCCCCACCCUCCAAAGGAAGUAAUAUGUAAACGGCACAAAUAAUUGUUUCUGGCUCCCACAUUGAACAUUGAAGGGAGGGCUUAAUAAAUAAAUAGUCUAUAUAAUAACUCCAACAAUCAUGACGAUGGCAAUAAUAACAGAUAUACAAGUUGCAAAGGGGAGGAGUAAUUUAAAGGACCCCUGGUCCUGGAAGUAAAAAGGGACAUUUGUUUUCUUUGAAGACAUGGACAUCAGUAGCUCCUGGUUGAAUCAUGUAUACAAAAGAUGAGUAAAAACAUAAAAAAUAUGGGGUUCUUUGAUAAAAAGAACGUGAGAAGAGACUGUGCACAUAAAUAUUUUCAGGAGGAAAUCAACUACAAAUCCCAAAGAGACAUCAAGAAACUAAUAUUGACAGUAUUUCAAUUUUAAUUCUGGGUAAGGUAGGUUAAUUUUGAACUAUGGUACAGUUUAGGAGCCCAAGAGUAACAACUAAGUAAGCUUUUAGAUUUUGCCUAUUAGUCUACAGCAGGGGUUCUCAAAGUGCGGCCCGCGGGCCAAUGGCGGCCCUCGGAAAUGUUUCUGGCGGCCCGCGAUAGUUAAUGUGACACGCUGAAAUGCAUGCGUUAUAUUUUAAUCCUCCAUGGUUCGUAUCUAGUAAGAAUUAGAAUGGAAUUUAAGAAUGGUAAAACUGCGCCUCCUGGGUUGUCAUUCCUAAAUUAUGAAUGACAGCUUGUGGAAAGUUUGCUAGACUACUGGUUGCAUGGCAACUAGGCAUCUCGCGAGUUGCGGUUAAGCGGAAAAUCUGUUGUAAGUUAUCAGAAUCAGAAACGGGAGUUAGCUAGCGAUUUUAGCUAGUCACUGUCUGUAGAUAACCCAACUUUGUGUCCUCUGCAAGUUCUUAAUGUAUACUGUAUGUAUAAUUGGUUAGUACAAUAAAGAAAGGAUUUGUUUUGGAAUUA